UGCGUAGGCGGGUCUUUAAGUCAGGGGUGAAAUCCUGGAGCUCAACUCCGGAACUGCCUUUGAUACUGAAGAUCUUGAGUUCGGGAGAGGUGAGUGGAACUGCGAGUGUAGAGGUGAAAUUCGUAGAUAUUCGCAAGAACACCAGUGGCGAAGGCGGCUCACUGGCCCGAUACUGACGCUGAGGCACGAAAGCGUGGGAGCAAACA
rnacentral:rRNA from 1 species